rnacentral:rRNA from 2 species
AGAGUUUGAUCCUGGCUCAGGAUGAACGCUGGCGGCGUGCCUAAUACAUGCAAGUCGAGCGAACGGACGAGAAGCUUGCUUCUCUGAUGUUAGCGGCGGACGGGUGAGUAACACGUGGAUAACCUACCUAUAAGACUGGGAUAACUUCGGGAAACCGGAGCUAAUACCGGAUAAUAUUUUGAACCGCAUGGUUCAAAAGUGAAAGACGGUCUUGCUGUCACUUAUAGAUGGAUCCGCGCUGCAUUAGCUAGUUGGUAAGGUAACGGCUUACCAAGGCAACGAUGCAUAGCCGACCUGAGAGGGUGAUCGGCCACACUGGAACUGAGACACGGUCCAGACUCCUACGGGAGGCAGCAGUAGGGAAUCUUCCGCAAUGGGCGAAAGCCUGACGGAGCAACGCCGCGUGAGUGAUGAAGGUCUUCGGAUCGUAAAACUCUGUUAUUAGGGAAGAAUAUAUGUGUAAGUAACUGUGCACAUCUUGACGGUACCUAAUCAGAAAGCCACGGCUAACUACGUGCCAGCAGCCGCGGUAAUACGUAGGUGGCAAGCGUUAUCCGGAAUUAUUGGGCGUAAAGCGCGCGUAGGCGGUUUUUUAAGUCUGAUGUGAAAGCCCACGGCUCAACCGUGGAGGGUCAUUGGAAACUGGAAAACUUGAGUGCAGAAGAGGAAAGUGGAAUUCCAUGUGUAGCGGUGAAAUGCGCAGAGAUAUGGAGGAACACCAGUGGCGAAGGCGACUUUCUGGUCUGUAACUGACGCUGAUGUGCGAAAGCGUGGGGAUCAAACAGGAUUAGAUACCCUGGUAGUCCACGCCGUAAACGAUGAGUGCUAAGUGUUAGGGGGUUUCCGCCCCUUAGUGCUGCAGCUAACGCAUUAAGCACUCCGCCUGGGGAGUACGACCGCAAGGUUGAAACUCAAAGGAAUUGACGGGGACCCGCACAAGCGGUGGAGCAUGUGGUUUAAUUCGAAGCAACGCGAAGAACCUUACCAAAUCUUGACAUCCUUUGACAACUCUAGAGAUAGAGCCUUCCCCUUCGGGGGACAAAGUGACAGGUGGUGCAUGGUUGUCGUCAGCUCGUGUCGUGAGAUGUUGGGUUAAGUCCCGCAACGAGCGCAACCCUUAAGCUUAGUUGCCAUCAUUAAGUUGGGCACUCUAAGUUGACUGCCGGUGACAAACCGGAGGAAGGUGGGGAUGACGUCAAAUCAUCAUGCCCCUUAUGAUUUGGGCUACACACGUGCUACAAUGGACAAUACAAAGGGCAGCGAAACCGCGAGGUCAAGCAAAUCCCAUAAAGUUGUUCUCAGUUCGGAUUGUAGUCUGCAACUCGACUACAUGAAGCUGGAAUCGCUAGUAAUCGUAGAUCAGCAUGCUACGGUGAAUACGUUCCCGGGUCUUGUACACACCGCCCGUCACACCACGAGAGUUUGUAACACCCGAAGCCGGUGGAGUAACCUUUUAGGAGCUAGCCGUCGAAGGUGGGACAAAUGAUUGGGGUGAAGUCGUAACAAGGUAGCCGUAUCGGAAGGUGCGGCUGGAUCACCU